GAAUGACAGCUAAAGGGUAUUGGGGCCCACAUGGACUGCUCAAAUGCAAGGGAAAAAAAAAAAAGGUCAUGGACACCUUGGAUCGGUUAAGGAACCGAAGGCACACGCGGUCCGAAGGACAACUCAGGGUAUUGGGAUCCAUUUGGGAUCGGCUAGGAAAGAGAAAGUAAGGAGCAUGGGGCCUACCGGAUUGGUAAAAGCUCAAAACCAAACACACCCCAACUGGGGUUGGGAUCAGCUAGCAAAGAGAAACCAAGAGGCAUGGGACCCACCGGAUUGGCAAAAGCUAAAAACCAAGUGCACCCCAACUGGGGUUGGGAUCGGCUAGCAAAGAGAAACCAAGAGGUAUGGGACCCACCAAAUCUGCAAAAGCUUAAAACCAAGCAAACCCCAAUCCAUUUGGGAUCGGCUAGGAAAGAGAAAGUAAGGAGCAUGGGGCCUACCGGAUUGGUAAAAGCUCAAAACCAAACACACCCCAACUGGGGUUGGGAUCAGCUAGCAAAGAGAAACCAAGAGGCAUGGGACCCACAGGAUUGGCAAAAGCUUAAAACCAGGCGUAUCCCAAUCUAUUUGGAAUCUGCUAGGCAAGAGAAAGCAAGAAGUAUGGGGCCCACCAGACUGGCAAAAGCUAAGAACCAAGCAAAGAGAAAGCAAGGAUCAUGGGGCCCAUCGGAUCGGCACAAGCUUAAAGCCAAGCGCACCCCAGCUGGGGUCAGUUAGCAAAGAGGAAAAUGUGCAUAGGCCCACCGGAUUGGCAGAGGUGUAGAAACUCAAAAUAAAGAAAAGGGUCUACUUGCGUAUGGGAUUGGCUGUCCACACUUGGAUACUCCACGUGGGGAUAAUAGUCCACAGUUGAAACUUGAAAAGUUAGCAACUUGCAUGAAAAUUCAUAUAUGGAUAUUUCACAUGCAAGGUGUGAAAGCAACAUGCAU
rnacentral:lncRNA from 1 species